rnacentral:rRNA from 1 species
UACGUAGGGAGCAAGCGUUGUCCGGAAUCAUUGGGCGUAAAGCGCGCGUAGGUGGCUUCGUAAGUCCGUUGUGAAAGUCAAAGGCUCAACCUUUGAAAGCCGAUGGAUACUGCGGAGCUAGAGUACGGAAGAGGCGAGUGGAAUUCCUGGUGUAGCGGUGGAAUGCGCAGAUAUCAGGAGGAACACCAAUAGCGAAGGCAGCUCGCUGGGACGGUACUGACGCUGAGACGAGAACGUGGGAGCAACAGG